ensembl:lncRNA
GUCAAGCAAAGUGGGGGCGGGGCCGGGGCCGGGGCCGGGGCCGAGGCCGGGUGUAAGAUGGAAUAAAGCAGUAGUGAAAUCAUCUUGGGGAGCUGGGAGGAGUGUCAAACUUUCAGCAAUUGAGUCCCGUUUUCCCUACCUUAGAGAAAGAGAGAGAGAUGGGAAGCUGGGGGAUUUCCAUUAAGGAGAAACCAGAGACGAUCAAAGGAGGAGGAGGGUGGUGCUGCCCUUUAAGAAAGCCGGCCAGAGCUCUGGAACUGGGACUCUUAAGAAACUUCUGUAAUGUGCCAAGUAAAGUGAGAAAGCUCUUCGUGGGGUCAAAAGAGAAGCUACCAGAGGAGGCCCCACGGAAGACUUGGCAGAAGAGAGUGGGAAAGAGCAUGCAUACUUGACAAAGACUUUACCACUAGAGAUAAUAGAGAAGCCAGAGAGAGUGAGGAGAAACUACCAGAUAAAUCAUUAUGAAGCAAAUGUUCUCCUUUCUCAAUAACAUGGACUCAAUAGCUGAAUGUGGCUCAGACAAAGCAUCUGUCUCUCCGUCUUUCAAACUUAAAAAGAAAAUCAUCAAGACCUCAGUAGAGAAAUGAGUAAUGCACGGGAUUUCAUGGAAGAGGAAACAGGACUAGUAAAUAAACACAUGAAGACUGAAGUCCAUCCUAACUAGAAAUAAAAUGAAAAGCACAUUUGAGGUGCACUUUUCUUUCUUUUUUUUAACUAAACUUGCAAGAUUUUAUUAAGUGGUAACACUCAGUUCUGGGAACAUCUUAAAAUUGGUAUCCUCCCACAAGGAUGGUGACACUUUAAAUUUGGACAAGUCUUUGGGGAAAAAAAAU